rnacentral:lncRNA from 1 species
UGUUAGUACAUUUAAACAUUGAACAUAUGUAGUGUGGUUGUAGAAUGGCAACAUAUCUUUUAUGUUUGGUCUAAUGGCUGACUGUUUUGUUCAUCAUAGGAGACAAUAAGGGUAUGAACCAAGCCAGUAACUGCCCCAAAUCAGAUGGUGCCUCUGAAGACAAUCAGCAUUGCACAGACAGUCCACAGCAUGACAGUAUCUUCCACAUUCAGGAGACAAUAAAGGGUAUGAACCAAGCCAGUAACUGCCCCAAAUCAGAUGGUGCCUCUGAAGACAAUCAGCAUUGCACAGACAGUCCACAGCAUGACAGUAUCUUCCACAUUCAGGAGACAAUAAAGGGUAUGAACCAAGCCAGUAACUGCCCCAAAUCAGAUGGUGCCUCUGAAGACAAUCAGCAUUGCACAGACAGUCCACAGCAUGACAGUAUCUUCCACAUUCAGGAGACAAUAAAGGGUACGAACCAAGCCAGUAACUGCCCCAAAUCAGAUGGUGCCUCUGAAGACAAUCAGCAUUGCACAGACAGUUCACAGCAUGACAGUAUCUUCCACAUUCAGGAGACAAUAAAGGGUAUGAACCAAGCCAGUAACUGCCCCAAAUCAGAUGGUGCCUCUGAAGACAAUCAGCAUUGCACAGACCGUCCACAGCAUGACAGUAUCUUCCACAUUCAGUGGCUCUUGAUGUAGAACCACCCAUAGAUCCUUCUGCAAAAGAAGUCCAGAAAUCUUCAAUUGAACAAACAACAGAAAUAACAAGUACCACAACUACCAUGAAAGGUACUGUUUGUUAAACUUCAUAGAAAGCCUUUAUGAACUUAAAAAUCUCUGUUUUUUCUGAUGUGCUUUGUUCAUUCAGGUCGAAAGGUGGUAAAGAAAAAGAAAUGGGACAGUGAUGAAAUGAAUGCAGUUGAAAAGCAUCUAAACAGGUUCAUCAAAACUUGUACAGUGCCAGGAAAACAACAAUGUGAGGCCUGUAUAAAUGCUGAACCUGUUGCCUUGAAAGACAGGGAUUGGUUGUCUGUAAAGUUCUUUGUGAAGAACAAAAUCACUACCCUUAAAAGAAGAAUGUAAAGUCAGUUAUUUUAUUUUGUUUGGUAUCUUAUUUUCUGGUAUUUUAGAUUUCUGGUUAUUACAUUUGUUUUAAAAGGAUCUUAGAAUCUCUUUUUUUUUUUUUGGAAAUGGGUGCAAUUCAGUAAAGUGUCUUUGAAUCAAAUGUAAAUAUGUACAGAAUACUGUUCAGAAUGCUACAUAAAAAUAGCAAAAAAAAUAAAUAUUUUAUUCAUGUUAUUAAAUUUUGAUCU